CAGGGACUGGGUUUCAGUUUGGCGAGGUCGCUUGUCCUUCUGGUAUCUGGAGUGUAGACACUGCUCGGUGUGUGCGGCUGGCCGUGGGUGACACUGAGGUUGAUGGCUGCAUUCCAGAUGUUAACACUGUCAGAAGCUUGACUUCCAUGUGUGCUGGGAAUCGAACUCAGGACCUUGAAUUUGCAAGGUAUUAUGACAAGUACUGGAGAAGGCUUAUGAUCGCCCAGUGGAUGAGACAUGUAUCCGUGCAUACAUGGAUCUGUGCAUACAUGAAGACAGGACUGUAAGGCAGAAGGAGAAGUAUGCAAAACUUAGAAGAGAAAUGCCUGUUGUGUUAGGAUCUGCAGAGGAGAUCUUUUCUCCUGAUCACUGCCAUAAAUAUUUGAAGAUGAGAUCGGGGGGGUCCUCAAAUUAUUGUCUGCGGACCAAAUCCUGCAGGCUUUCUGGUUUUGUGCAAUCAUUGAAAUACAAAUACUUUUUAUAUUUUUAAAUGGCUGAGAAUUAAAAAAACCCCACAAGGGCAAUAUAGUCAUGUGCCACAAACCAUGUUUCAGUCAGUAAUGGGUCAUACAUUGUUCAGUGGCCCCAUAUAAGAUUUCGUUGUCUGCGAUGUUGUAGCUGGUUUAGUUUGUAUACAUACAUUCUAUGAUGUUUGUACAACGAUGAAGUAGCCUAACGAUGAGUUUCUCAAAAUGUAUCCCCCUCAUUAAGUGAUACACAGCUGUAAUAAUUUGUGCCCUGUGAAAAUAAUAUGAAUUUCAAAUUUCAGUGUUCACAAUAAAGUUUUAUUGGAACAAAGCCAUACUUGCUCAUAUUGCCUGUGGUUGCUUUUACAUUCCAAUAACAGAAGCGAAUCAUCACGACAGAGAGAGUAUGGCCUUCAAAGCCUAAAAUAUUUAUUACCUGACCCUUUAUAGAAAGAGUUUGCCCAUGCUGGACUUUGAGUUAUCCAACACUUACAGUAUCGUUGUCCUGUCUGAUGUCCUUUUUCCUCUAUCACCACAUACCCACUAUUCCCUUCUCAUUCCAUCCAUCCAUCCAUCCAUCCAUCCACCCAUCCUUGGUUCCUGGCCAUCCUGGCAUCAGCAGUUCUUGGAUUUGUUUGUGGGAUGGUUAGUAAUGAUUGCUGUAGGUAGAGCUGCGCUCUCCUCUGCAUCCAAGCCUGGUGCCUCAGGGUUUCCUCAGUGCAACUGUCCCUUGCUCAAACACACCCCGACACCCACUUCAGUUGCUGAUUGCAUGUCAUCCAUUGGCUCCCAGCAGAGGCCUUUGAAGGACUUCUCCUUGCUCACAAUUUUAGCUUGUGAAAUGGAGUCCCAUUCAUUAAACUGUAAGACACCACUUGACAAGGGAUUUUAUUUUUAAAUGGCCCCUUGCUUAGCAAAUUUAUUCCUCCUGAGCUACUUUCAUUUUUGGUAAUCUAUAGAAAAGUAAAACAAUGCAGUAAAAUAAUGCAUUAAUGGAAUCUGUAAUCUUUCUCUAGGCACUGGGAACACUGCAAAGCUUGCCAUGGAAUUAUUUAGAAAGCUAUUGGCCAGUGCAUGCAUUUUUACUCUCCUGAAAAAGGCUGAAAUUACAUACUUUCUUCCCGAUGUAAUAGAGAGGUGUAUACAGUCAAUGCGAAUGACCCGAGUUCUUGUGUGUGUUCGGUAGUCACCAUGGGGCCUUUUCUCUCUACCCUUUGCUCAUGGUGUUUCUUUCUUCAAACAGAAGACCACUGAUCUCUCUUCAAGCAGAAUGUUUCAGCAAAUCCACAGAAAUUGGCUUUUUUCUUUUUCCCUGUGGUUCCUUGCAUGUUGUGUGGUUUCAGAAGUACUUCCUUUGGUUGCAAAGUUUCCUCAAAACUGGAGAGAG
ensembl:lncRNA